UGCGGAGGAUCAUUAUUGAAUAAACCUGAUGGGUUGUUGCUGGCUCUCUAGGGAGCAUGUGCACACCUUGUCAUCUUUAUAUCUCCACCUGUGCACUUUUUGUAGACCCUUUCAGGUCUAUGUUGCUUCAUUUAUACCCCAAUGUAUGUUAAUAGAAUGUUGUGCCUAUAUAAUAAUAUAUACAACUUUCAGCAACGGAUCUCUUGGCUCUCGCAUCGAUGAAGAACGCAGCGAAAUGCGAUAAGUAAUGUGAAUUGCAGAAUUCAGUGAAUCAUCGAAUCUUUGAACGCACCUUGCGCUCCUUGGUAUUCCGAGGAGCAUGCCUGUUUGAGUGUCAUUAAUAUAUCAAACCAACCUUCUCUUUGUUGAUUGGUUUGGAUGUGGGGGUUUCUUUUUUUUGCU
rnacentral:misc_RNA from 1 species